AGGGCGGCUCUUUAUUCAUAAAAAGCAGACCAACCUAACCUUGCAGUUCAGGCAGAGGAGGUCUGCUCUGGUUCCCAAGACUUCUUACUGACUACUCAACAUGGAGUUGGAAUUGAGCUUAAUUUUUAUUUUUUCUCUUUUAAAAGAUGUCCAGUGUGAAGUACAGCUGGUGGAGUCUGGAGGAAGCUUGGUUCAACCUGGGGGUUCUCUGAAACUCUCUUGUGUAGCCUCAGGGUACACUUUCAGUAACUACUGGAUGGACUGGGUUCGGCAGACUCCUGGAAAGUCCCUGGAGUGGAUUGGAGAGAUUAACACGGAUGGCAGUAAGACCAACUAUGCACCAUCCAUAAAGGAUCGAUUCACAAUCUCCAGAGACAAUGCCAAGAGCACCCUGUAUCUGCAGAUGAGCAAUGUGAAAUCAGAUGACACAGCCAUUUAUUACUGUACUAGAAUCACAAUGAAUGAACUUCAGUGUGAAAUUAUACAGAAACCUCACUGUCAGGCCACUCAGUACCACCAGGGGGUGCACAGAACCCCUAGUAUGCAAAACACUGCUUCAGACCAGAUUUUAAACUCAUAAUCAAGCACUAUUCUGAGUUAUCUAAGCUGCCUUUCUCCUUAGUUUCUCUGAAAGUCUUUUUCAAUAUUUGUUUUGGAGGAAACGAAUGUGCUCAAAACAUUUCUUGUAUUCUUGUUGUUACUAAAAAACAGGAGGCAGAGUCUCACAUGAAGAAAACACAAAAUUCCAACAACAAGGUCAAAAAUGUUUCAGGCUACAUCACUGAAAUCGCAUGAACAAGUUCAUGGAGACGCCUGCAUUUUAGUUAGGGUUUCAUUAUGUCCAGAAGACACAAGGGCAACUCUUUUGAAUGAAAUCAUUUACUUGGGCCUGUCUUACAU